rnacentral:tRNA from 1 species
AGCCUGUUGGUCAAGGGGUCAAGACGCUGCGUUCUCAGCGCGGAAUCACGGGUUCAAAUCCCGUACAGGUUA